AGCGAACGUUAGCGGCGGGCCUAACACAUGCAAGUCGAACGGGCAGUAGCAAUACUGUCAGUGGCGCACGGGUGCGUAACGCGUAGAUAAUCUACCUUCCAGCGGGGGAUAACUGAGGGAAACCUUAGCUAAUACCCCAUAAGACCACGGGGCCUUCGGGUUCUGCGGGAAAAGGCGGCCUCUGCAUAUGCUGUCACUGGGAGAUGAGUCUGCGUCCCAUCAGCUAGUUGGUGAGGUAAUGGCUCACCAAGGCGAAGACGGGUAGCUGGUCUGAGAGGAUGAUCAGCCACACUGGAACUGAGACACGGUCCAGACUCCUACGGAGGCAGCAGUGGGGAAUUUUGGACAAUGGGGGCAACCCGUGAUCCAGCCAUUCCGCGUGAGUGAAGAAGGCU
rnacentral:rRNA from 1 species